rnacentral:rRNA from 1 species
GACGAACGCUGGCGGCGUGCUUAACACAUGCAAGUCGAACGAACCCUUCGGGGUUAGUGGCGGACGGGUGAGUAACACGUGGGAACGUGCCUUUAGGUUCGGAAUAACUCAGGGAAACUUGUGCUAAUACCGAAUGUGCCCUUCGGGGGAAAGACUUAUCGCCUUUAGAGCGGCCCGCGUCUGAUUAGCUAGUUGGUGAGGUAAUGGCUCACCAAGGCUACGAUCAGUAGCUGGUCUGAGAGGAUGACCAGCCACAUUGGGACUGAGACACGGCCCAAACUCCUACGGGAGGCAGCAGUGGGGAAUCUUGCGCAAUGGGCGAAAGCCUGACGCAGCCAUGCCGCGUGGAUGAUGAAGGUCUUAGGAUUGUAAAAUCCUUUCACCGGUGAAGAUAAUGACUGUAGCCGGAGAAGAAGCCCCGGCUAACUUCGUGCCAGCCGCCGCAGUAAAAC